AGCAUAUCAAUAAGCGGAGGAAAAGAAACCAACAGGGAUUGCCUCAGUAACGGCGAGUGAAGCGGCAACAGCUCAAAUUUGAAAUCUGGCGCCUCCGGCGUCCGAGUUGUAAUUUGUAGAGGAUGCUAUUGGGUUGCCACCGGUCUAAGUUCCUUGGAACAGGACGUCACAGAGGGUGAGAAUCCCGUAUGUGACCGGCCAGGCGCCUUCUGUAUAGCUCCUUCGACGAGUCGGGUUGUUUGGGAAUGCAGCCCUAAAUGGGAGGUAAAUUUCUUCUAAAGCUAAAUACCGGCCAGAGACCGAUAGCGCACAAGUAGAGUGAUCGAAAGAUGAAAAGCACUUUGGAAAGAGAGUUAAAAAGCACGUGAAAUUGUUGAAAGGGAAGCGCUUGCAAUCAGCCUCGACGGCGGCUGUUCGGCCUCUCUUCUGAGUGGUUUAUUCAGUCGCCGCCGGGCCAGCAUCAGUUUUGGCGGUCGGAUAAAGGCGCGGGGAAUGUAGCUCCUCCGGGAGUGUUAUAGCCCCGCGUGCAAUACGGCCCGCCGGGACUGAGGUCCGCGCUUCGGCUAGGAUGCUGGCGAAAUGGUUGUAAGCGGCCCGUCUUGAAACACGGACCAAGGAGUCUAACAUCUACGCGAGUGUUUGGGUGUCAAACCCGUGCGCGCAAUGAAAGUGAACGGAGGUGGGAACCGCAAGGUGCACCAUCGACCGAUCCUGAUGUCUUCGGAUGGAUUUGAGUAAGAGCGUAGCUGUUGGGACCCGAAAGAUGGUGAACUAUGCCUGAAUAGGGUGAAGCCAGAGGAAACUCUGGUGGAGGCUCGCAGCGGUUCUGACGUGCAAAUCGAUCGUCAAAUUUGGGUAUAGGGGGCGAAAGACUAAUCGAACCAUCUAGUAGCUGGUUCUGCG
rnacentral:rRNA from 1 species